rnacentral:rRNA from 1 species
AUGGUGCUCGACACCGGCAGCGAGCUGUCCUUGCUGUUCUACGCCAGGAACAACGUGAUGUCCUUCGGCCCGAGGAGCUCGACCACCUUCGUCGCCGUGCCCUACGCCUCCGCACAGUGCCGCUCCCGUGACCUGCCGUCGCCUCCGGCCUGCAACGCGGCAUCGAGCAGGUGCAGCGUUUCGCUCUCCUACGCGCGGACGGGUCCUCCUCUGACGGCACGCUCGCGACUGACAUCUCUGCCGUUGUGCGCGGCAUUCCGCUGCAUUGCUUCCGGGUUCGACUCGUCCCGGUCGGCGGCCCGAGCGCCGGGCUGCUGGGCAUGA